GUGAGUUUGGAGGCCACAGUUAACUCCUUGAUUUUAAAAGGUGAAUCUCGAGUUUCCAUAGGCCUACAUUCAGUUUCAAAUGUCUACUUCUAUAGGGCAAAAGCGUAACUUUCUACAUAUUCUCAUGUCUCUUAAGCAGGGAAACUUUAAAUAGACACAUCAACCAUCAAAACCCAACAGCAGAAAGGAGCUACAAGAAAAUCCUCAUUAGUGAGCUGUUGUUUACUUAAAACAGAGAACUAAGUCAGCAACAAUAUAUUAAAAGACUGCUAAAUUUCAUUCAAUAAAUCAAUUCUUAUUGCGAGAAUUUUUUUCUUUCCUCCCAUAUUAGUGUUGAAAUAUUCUUGGCCAAAAUAUUGCUAAGCCCACUGGAGUAAAUCUCCCCUCAGAGCUCUGGCAAACAUUUGGGACAAAAAUUACAAAGAAAAAGCAAUUGAGAUUCCUGAAAGUU